AUACAGAGGGUGCAAACGUUGCUCGGAAUUACUGGGCGUAAAGCGCGUGUAGGCGGAUUCGAAAGUCGGGUGUGAAAUCCCUGGGCUCAACCCGGGAACUGCAUCCGAAACUUCGUGUCUAGAGUGAUGGAGAGGAAAGCGGAAUUAUUGGUGUAGAGGUGAAAUUCGUAGAUAUCAAUAGGAACACCAGUGGCGAAGGCGGCUUUCUGGACAUUUACUGACGCUGAGACGCGAAAGCAUGGGGAGCAAACAGGAUUAGAAACCCUAGUAGUCC
rnacentral:rRNA from 1 species